AAAAGGAGAAAUUUGGACACAGACGUGCACACAGGGAGAAUACCAUGUGAAUGUUGGAGUUAUGCUACUGUAAACAACAGAAUCCAACUUGGAAUAGAUCCUUCCCUCAUGCCUUCAGAGAGAGCGAGGCCUUGUUGACACCUUGAUCUUGGUCUUCUACCCUCUAUAACGAAAGAAGUGAAAAAUGGAUCCAAGCUGGAUUUCUUCCUUUUGGAGAUGGGAAGGAAACGUGAGCCAUGAGAACAUCACAGAAGGCUGAGUUGGGGAACACAUUUAUGAAACUUUUUUCCCCAUUUGAAGAGCAAGAUUUUAAAAUACAUCAUCCUACUAUCCUGCUACCUGACCACUCCUCAUCACAGGCGAAGAUUAGAAGAGUUUUCUCUGGAUAAACUAAUUAUUCCUAAGGCCCUUGGAUACUGACACAAGAAAAAAAAUGCUGGUGAUGCCUAGUGCCUUUAAAGACAGCUGUGACCAUAAUCGAAGAUACCAAAAUUAAACACUGUACAUUUGAGAGAGUUUUUCUAGAGUGGAUAUCUGGAUAUUUGCUACUAUAGAUGUCAAGUAGAAGCCAUGGACAUCUUCGGCUUUGCUGAAUACUGACAAGUCGCUUUCCAAAGUUUUGGUAGGAACUCACUCUCCUACCAGCCAGGAACCUCUACAAACCAACAUGGGUUUGAACCCAGGACCCUAAAUUCAAGAGUCACAUGCUCUACUAACUGAGCCAGACAGGAGCCCCAAGGAGCAUACAAGUCUUACAGAGAGUGAAUGACAAGUGAAUGAAGAUAAGCAGGACUAGGUUUUUCUGCAUCUAUGCAAGUGGAGAGAGAGCCCUUUGAAGGAGAGACUACAACCUGACUCAUCUAUGUACCUCCAGCCCCAGUCAUAAGGAAUAGUUAUUCUGAAGGUCCUAAAUAAGAAAGGAGUACACUCCUAUGAUUAUCAGCUGAUAAAUCCUUCCUCUAUCCUACACAUUUAAGUCGGUGUGGUGGAAUUUCAGCUAAACCCAACAGAAAAAUAUUGAACAUCCAAUGUAUGCUGCAGCUACAGAAAAGCAUGAUACUGUUCUUGUCUCAAAAAUACAUACUAUUUAGGAAGACACGAAAUAUUAUGUAUAAGGGAGACUUCAAGGCAGAUUCAAAAACUGUGGAGAUUCAUCAACCAAGAGAGAGCCUCGUCUUUGUAUUGGUUGACAAAGAUCCUACUGGAUUAAUUCCCUGCUGACAACUACCAUAAAAUUUGGACAUAAUGCAAAAAGCAGCUCCUGGAAGGUACUGGAGGCAAACAGAAACAGGUUGUCUUACAAGUGCAUAAUAACCCGAGGAAGAAGGAUAGAAGCUAUACUGCCAGUCUUCCUGCCAGCAGCUCCGGACACCUCUAAAUCCCUGAGGCUGGAUGAAGAAGCUCCAGAGAAGAAAAUAGCCAGUCAAAAACACAGAAUCUCCUAGUCCCUGACAUGGAUUUACCCAUUAGACUUCACUAAUUCCAGGAUCUAGUACUAGCCCCAGAACACAGAAGAACCCCUUCCUCAAGCAAAUUCCAAUUCAAGGCUUGAUGUCAGCAACAGAGGGGAGAGCUGAUGACCCACAUGUGGCGCCUUUGGCAGUGGCUACGUCUCCUCUGUGACAGCAUCACCAACUGCAUUCCAGUUGCUGUAGGACCACAGUCCACCUCCUUGUCUGGCUAGCAGGUGACGGGAGCUCCCUGCUGCCACUAAACCUCUCCGUUGUCUUGCCAUCUGCCUUUUGGCUUCCUAGAGAUUCUAUCAUCUGUGUAACCAAUUCCUGAUAUUAAAUUUCUUGUUUGAAAUGUUUACAGUGAUAGCUGUGUUCCUGUUUUGAGGAACAUAAUACAGAGGGCUUAUACAGAGGGCUCGUCCUAAUGUAAAUAGGCCAUACAUUCAGAUGUGCAUUGUGUGUGUUUAUAUAUUGUAGAAACAAAAAUUAACUUAUGUAUGAUACCCAACAUUAACUGGUAUACAGUAGCUAUUAAUGUGAAUUGCUUGCAAAUUAACUGGUCAUGCUAUUAGGGGAAAUAACAUAAAAGGUAAUUCAAAUAUGGAAAAUUCAUAGUAACUAUACAUAUUUUAUGACUUAAAAACCAUUUAUGCCCUUCGCUGUUUUUGACAGUAAUACACAUUAUACAUGUAUCAGAAAAACAAUGUUCAAAGUUUCGUUUGACAAAGUAUAUAAGCUAAACAUAGAUAUUUCCCUUCAUUCUUCAUGAAUGAAGAUAGUAAUCUUCUCACUACUUAAAUAUCUAUAUAUCACUUGUCAUGCAGGAACUCCCUUCCCACAAAAUCCUGGCCCUAACCCUAAUCCUAGAUCUAAGAAGUGGCUUCUGGAACACUCAAUAAGAGAAGUUGAGAAGCAGCCUAAUUAUCCUGGAGAAGACCCCAAACAUUUAUGAAUUGAUAGUAUUUCUGAAAAUUAGUGUGAAGGUAGAGACAAACAAAGAAGGACCAAUUGAAAUAAUAAAUACAUGAAUAAGUAGAUAGAUAAUAAAAUGUUAUUCAUAUUUUGUUUAGCAAUAGUUAAUAUUUUCAUGGCAUUAUAUCAGCACUCCUAAGAGUUUAUAAAGCAAGUGAGAAAAAAAAUUUGUCAAAAAGACAUCAUGAUAUUUAAUAAAAUGCACAGUGACUAGAGGGAGUUCAUAGCAGUAGAAGCUGGAGAGAUCUGGGAAGCUUCAGGAAGGAAGUGAUCCUUCAGCUGGGUCUUGGUGAAUGGCUGGCAGGUUGACCUCUCCCACAUGCUAUUCUCCCCUUCCCACUGAACUACCAUGUUUCUGCUUUUAUCGGCCUGAUAUGCUGAGCUUUUACCUAAGAUUUAUUAUGUAUCUAAGAGCAGGUGGAUUCUUUGAUAUGCAACAUCCCUGUGAAAUACAAGCACUCUGAUUC